CAGCAGCCGCGGUAAGACGGAGGAUGCAAGCGUUAUCCGGAAUGAUUGGGCGUAAAGCGUCUGUAGGUGGUUUAUUAAGUCUACUGUUAAAGAUCAGGGCUUAACCCUGAGUCGGCAGUAGAAACUAAUGAGCUUGAGUACGGUAGGGGCAGAGGGAAUUCCCGGUGUAGCGGUGAAAUGCGUAGAGAUCGGGAAGAACACCAAUGGCGAAAGCACUCUGCUGGGCCGAAACUGACACUCAGAGACGAAAGCUAGGGGAGCGAAUGGGAUUAGAUACCCCAGUAGUCCCUGUCUCUUAUAC
rnacentral:rRNA from 1 species